rnacentral:rRNA from 1 species
UACGUAGGGUGCGAGCGUUAAUCGGAAUUACUGGGCGUAAAGCGUGCGCAGGCGGUGAUGUAAGACAGAUGUGAAAUCCCCGGGCUCAACCUGGGAACUGCAUUUGUGACUGCAUCGCUGGAGUGCGGCAGAGGGGGAUGGAAUUCCGCGUGUAGCAGUGAAAUGCGUAGAUAUGCGGAGGAACACCGAUGGCGAAGGCAAUCCCCUGGGCCUGCACUGACGCUCAUGCACGAAAGCGUGGGGAGCAAACAGGAUUGAGAAACCC